GAUUCGCGGGGAAGGAGUGUUUUGUCUCCCUGCUCAGUCUACAUCAACGGGUACUGCUGACAUACGGUGGACUAAGCGAGUGGGGGCACUCACGGUACAUACUUCGAAAUAACCUAUCAUUGUGCACCAUGCUUUAAGCUGUGAGAAGUCUAGCUUUAUGUAGUGACUUAUCAAAGGUGCCUGUUCCUGCAAAGGGAUCUUGUAUAUAUCUUUGCAUCAUUUUCUGCCAGCUCACCAGCCGGGGAGUCUGAGGCCAACAGACAGAAGAACUUGGCUCUGGCUCCCUGCUAGCAUUUGUCAAAUGAUAAUGUAUAUUAAGAAAUAGUACAAUCAAAGUGCUGGUUAUUUUAAUAUUUUGAG